rnacentral:rRNA from 1 species
AAUCAACGCUGGCGGCGUGCCUCAGACAUGCAAGUCGAACGAGAAAGUUCCCUUCGGGGAAUGAGUAAAGUGGCGCACGGGUGAGUAACACGUAGGUAAUCUACCUUCGGGUGGGGAAUAACCCAGGGAAACUUGGGCUAACACCGCAUAAUGCAGCGGCACCACAUGGUGACAGUUGUUAAAGCGGGGGAUUUUAGGACCUCGCGCCUGAAGAGGAGCCUGCGGCGGAUUAGCNGUUGGUAAGGUAACGGCUUACCAAGGCGACGAUCCGUAGCCGGCCUGAGAGGGCGGUCGGCCACACUGACACUGACAUACGGGUCAGACUCCUACGGGAGGCAGCAGUCGGGAAUUUUGGGCAAUGGGCGAAAGCCUGACCCAGCAACGCCGCGUGAAGGAUGAAAUCCCUCGGGAUGUAAACUUCGCAAGAAUGGGAAGAAUUAGUAGGGCUAAUACCCCCUACUGAUGACGGUACCAUUUGUAAGCUCCGGCUAACUCCGUGCCAGCAGCCGCCGUAA